rnacentral:lncRNA from 1 species
CUUUUCAUUUUACUAUUAAAGGACAAAUGCUAAAAAACUGAAGAUGAAGCCAUGUUCCCCGGGCAGAAUAGACAGCAGGCGUUGUGGCUGUCUUGCGGGAGUCAGACUCUAACACGAAGCCCGGCUUCCCCCAGAACAAGGAUCGUUUGGCUGCUAGAGUGUACACUGGAUAAAGACAAGAUGGAAAGCAGGUGCAGGGCUCCUACAGAAACACCAAGUCCAAGGGAGUCUGAGGAGUCUGCCCAGAGAUGAUCAGGCUGAAUGAGGCUACCUGCGGAGGACUCUUCAUGCUCCUCCUUACCGAACCUCUGCAACUCACACCAUGUGGAAGCACAUAGGACACAGCACCAAAGUCUAAAGCAGAAAGCAUGUAGAUCCCAGAGGUGAUUUCCUCAGGUGUUUGUCACAAAAACAGGAAG